UACGUAGGUGGCAAGCGUUGUCCGGAAUCACUGGGCGUAAAGGGUGCGUAGGCGGGUCUUUAAGUCAGGGGUGAAAUCCUGGAGCUCAGCUCCAGAACUGCCUUUGAUACUGAGGAUCUUGAGUUCGGGAGAGGUGAGUGGAACUGCGAAGUGUAGAGGUGAAAUUCGUAGAUAUUCGCAAGAACACCAGUGGCGAAGGCGGCUCACUGGCCCGAUACUGACGCUGAGGCACGAAAGCGUGGGGAGCAAACAGGG
rnacentral:rRNA from 1 species